rnacentral:rRNA from 1 species
UACGGAGGGUGCAAGCGUUAUCCGGAUUCACUGGGUUUAAAGGGUGCGUAGGCGGCCAUAUAAGUCAGUGGUGAAAGCUUCCAGCUUAACUGGGAAACUGCCAUUGAAACUGUUUGGCUUGAGUACAAUUGAAGUGGGCGGAAUACAUCAUGUAGCGGUGAAAUGCUUAGAUAUGAUGUAGAACACCGAUUGCGAAGGCAGCUCACUAAAUUGCAACUGACGCUGAGGCACGAAAGCGUGGGUAGCGAACAGG